GACGAACGCUGGCGGCGUGCUUAACACAUGCAAGUCGAACGGAAAGGCCCUGCUUUUGUGGGGUGCUCGAGUGGCGAACGGGUGAGUAACACGUGAGUAACCUGCCCUUGACUUUGGGAUAACUUCAGGAAACUGGGGCUAAUACCGGAUAGGAGCUCCUGCUGCAUGGUGGGGGUUGGAAAGUUUCGGCGGUUGGGGAUGGACUCGCGGCUUAUCAGCUUGUUGGUGGGGUAGUGGCUUACCAAGGCUUUGACGGGUAGCCGGCCUGAGAGGGUGACCGGCCACAUUGGGACUGAGAUACGGCCCAGACUCCUACGGGAGGCAGCAGUGGGGAAUAUUGCACAAUGGGGGGAAGCCUGAUGCAGCAACGCCGCGUGCGGGAUGACGGCCUUCGGGUUGUAAACCGCUUUCGCCUGUGACGAAGCGGGAGUGACGGUAAUGGGUAAAGAAGCACCGGCUAACUACGUG
rnacentral:rRNA from 1 species